rnacentral:rRNA from 1 species
CCUACGGGAGGCAGCAGUGAGGAAUAUUGGUCAAUGGGCGGAAGCCUGAACCAGCCAAGUAGCGUGCAGGAUGACGGCCCUAUGGGUUGUAAACUUCUUUUAUACGGGAAUAACGCGCCUUACGUGUAGGGCUUUGCAUGUACCGUAUGAAUAAGGACCGGCUAAUUCCGUGCCAGCAGCCGCGGUAAUACGGAGGGUCCGGGCGUUAUCCGGAUUUAUUGGGUUUAAAGGGAGCGUAGGCCGUAUGUUAAGCGUGCUGUGAAAUGUGCGGGCUCAACCCGAGCCUUGCCGUGGAAACUGGCGUGCUUGAGUGUGCGGGAGGCAGGCGGAAUGCGUGGUGUAGCGGUGAAAUGCAUAGAUAUGACGAAGAACCCCGAUUGCGAAGGCAGCUUGCUGCGGCAGAACUGACGCUGAUGCUCGAAAGCGCGGGUAUCGAACAGGAUUAGAUACCCCUGUAGUC